rnacentral:misc_RNA from 1 species
CCAAUAGCGUAUAUUAAAGUUGUUGCAGUUAAAAAGCUCGUAGUUGAAUUUCGAGAUCAAAUUGUUGGUCGUGCCUCGGUACGUACUGGCAUUAUUGAUUUCUCCCUUCUGAAGAACCUUGAUGUCAUUAAUUUGGUGUCUUGGGGAAUCAGGACCGUUACUUUGAAAAAAUUAGAGUGUUUAAAGCAGGCUCACGCUUGAAUACAUUAGCAUGGAAUAAUGAAAUAGGACGUUUGAUUCUAUUUUGUUGGUUUCUAGGAUCGACGUAAUGAUUAAUAGGGAUAGUUGGGGGCAUUAGUAUUCAAUUGUCAGAGGUGAAAUUCUUGGAUUUAUUGAAGACUAACUACUGCGAAAGCAUUUGCCAAGGAUGUUUUCAUUAAUCAAGAACGAAAGUUAGGGGAUCGAAGACGAUCAGAUACCGUCGUAGUCUUAACCAUAAAUUAUGCCGACUAGGGAUCGGAUGAUGUUAAUUUUUUAAUGACUCAUUCGGCGCCUUACG